rnacentral:rRNA from 1 species
UACGUAGGCAGCGAGCGUUGUUCGGAAUUACUGGGCGUAAAGAGUGUGUAGGCGGUCGUCUAAGUUCGGUGUGAAAUCUCCUGCUUAACUGGGAGGGUGCGCCGGAAACUGGAGGGCUCGAGCGUGGGAGAGGAAAGCGGAAUUCCUGGUGUAGCGGUGAAAUGCGUAGAUAUCAGGAGGAACACCGGUGGUGUAGACGGCUUUCUGGACCAUAGCUGACGCUGAGACACGAAAGCGUGGGUAGCAAACAGG